rnacentral:rRNA from 1 species
UGGGGAAUAUUGGACAAUGGGCGAAAGCCUGAUCCAGCAAUGCCGCGUGAGUGAUGAAGGCCUUAGGGUUGUAAAGCUCUUUCACCCGCGACGAUGAUGACGGUAGCGGGAGAAGAAGCCCCGGCUAAUUUCGUGCCAGCAGCCGCGGUAAUACGAAAGGGGCUAGCGUUGUUCGGAAUUACUGGGCGUAAAGAGCGCGUAGGCGGCUUGGCAAGUGAGGCGUGAAAGUCCUGGGCUCAACCUGGGGACUGCGCUUCAGACUGCCUCGCUUGAGUCCGGAAGAGGGUGGUGGAAUUCCGAGUGUAGAGGUGAAAUUCGUAGAUAUUCGGAGGAACACCGGUGGCGAAGGCGGCCACCUGGUCCGGCACUGACGCUGAAGCGCGAAAGCGUGGGGAGCAAACAGG